GUUCAACAGGGACAAAUGCAAGAUACUCUAUUUAGGCAGAAAAAAUGAAAUGCAAAUAUACAGAAUAGGGGAUGCCAGGCUUGACAGCAGGACAUGUGAAAAAUAUCUUGGAGUCCUCCUGGACAGGAGGGUAAACAGGAGCCAACAAUGUCAUGCAGCAGCUAAAAAAGCCAUUAGGAUUUUGGCCAGUGUCAAUAGGAGUACAGUGUCAAGAUCCAGGGAAGUCAUGCUAUUCCUCUAUUCUGCCUUGGUCAGACCACACCUGGAAUACUGUGUCCAAUUCUGAGCACCGCAGUUGAAGGGAGAUGUUGACUCUAAGCUGUAAUGUGUCCAGAGGAGGGCGACUAAAAUGAUCAAGAGUCUGGAGAACAAGCCCUACGAGGAGCGGCUUAAAGAACUGGGCAUGUUUAGCCUGCAGAAGAGAAGGCUGAGAGGAGACAUGAUAGCCAUGUAUAAAUAUGUGAGAGUGAGUCAUAGGGAGGAGGAAGCAAGCUUGUUUUUCUGCUGCCUUGGAGACUAGGACACAGAACAAUGGCUUCAAACUACAGGAAAGGAGAUUCCACCUGAACAUUAGGAAGAACUUCCUCACUGUGAGAGCUGUUCGACUGUGGAACUCUCUGCCCCGGGCUGUGGUGGAGGCGCCUUCUUUGGAGGCUUUUAAGCAGAGGCUGGAUAGCCAUCUGUCGAGGGUGCUUUGAAUGUGCUUUUCCUGCUUCUUGGCAGGGGGUUGGACUGGAUGGCCCGUGAGGUCUCUUCCAACUCAGUGAUUCUAUAUAAACCCCACUUGCCUAGUUUCCAACAGACCUCACAACCUCUGAGGAUGCCUGCCAUAGAUGUGGGCAAAACAUGAGGAGAUAAUGCUUCUAGAACAUGACCAUACAGAACAUGGGAGAAAGAACUCUUCUCUUUGAGGCAUUUGUGAAUGUGCCUUGCAGCUUCAAGGCUUGGCAGCUUCCGGUCUGAGGAGAGGAUCCUUUGCUGGCAGGCCCUGAUUGUUUCAUGCCUGGAAUUUCCCUGUCUUCUGAAUGUUGUUCUUUAUUUACUGUCUUGAUUUCAGAGUUCUUUAAUACAGUACUGAUAGCCAGAUUUUGUUCAUUUUCAUGGUUUCCUCCUUUCUGUUGAAAUUGUCCACAUGCUUAUGGAUUUCAACAAUCAGGGACGGCUAACACCUCCCAAAAAGGAACCUGAGCAAACUAACAAAAGAACCAUGAUAUCCUCCCCCAUGGCAAAUCAGUCAUUGGGCCGCUUUCCUAGUUGCAUUCACUAUUUCUUAUUCCUUAAAAUGAGAAAACAUCCAAAGGCAAUGGACUGAUAUAGCGAACUAUGAGGCCUUUGGUACUCCAAAUUUAUAAACUUCCAGAUGCCACAUAGUCACAAAGCAAAGUGUGGGAGGUAUAGUCAAAACAACUGGAAAACCAGUGUUUCUUCUGCUUCUGCUCCUGGUAGAUAUAAUGGUAGUUACUUGUUAUUAUAAUGCUGAUUUUGACAUUUUGCAUUUUAUUGGUACAAGGUGUUCUGAACUAUUUCCUGAAAUAUGUAUAAGCUUUUAAAAUGUCCCAAUCCAUGUGCUUAUUUAUCAUGUUGACAGAAUCUCUGCUAAAUCUACUUAACUCUGUAUUUUUCACAUAGCGACUUAAAUGUUAAUAAGGCUAUACUUUUCAAAAUGAAUCUUCAGUUAGCAGUGUCUUGACAAAACACACACCUCCAUAUAUGCCAUACCCAUAUACCCUAUGUGCCAUAAUAUGUAUAUAAGUAUCCUCACCUUCUCCAAUAACAUAUCUUACAGCAGAUCUUUUAAAGGUUUAGGAAAAUUCCUCCCAAGCAGAAUGACAAGACUCUGAAUCCAACAAGGCCUUCAAAGGAUGCAGAUCUACUUCACAAUUUCAACAGGCUAUUGGACUUUUGCCUCACCACAAUUGUGUUAAUGGGAUGGAAACAUCACAGAACAGGUAUGUUCAUUAUUUUACGUCUCCUCAGUAGCACUAUGGUGCCGCUUUGGAGGCUAUGAUCCCAUGUUCUCUCUUCCACCCUGCCUACAUAACCCUGUUUUUCUGCCCUGUGCCCUCUUGGCAUACCUUGUGUUUUCAAAAUUUUUAUUUUUAUUUGACAAUUGCGCUGUUACGGUAAUAUGGGAAGAAAUUACAAACAGAAAAGAAAUGGGGGAGAGGACAAACAGUCUGGGAUUAGCAAGGGGAGAGAAGAAUAAUGCCCAUUGAAACCACGUGGCUGCUGGCAUAUCAGAACAUAAAAGGAAGAAACAUAUUAUACUGAAGUAGUCAUGGGAAGGCAGCAUAAUCAGGAGGCAUUGACAGGCCUUACUAGUUAAAAGGAGCACUAUAUUCAUGGAGUGAAGGCAAAUCGGCAACAGUAUGCACACAAUGUGUCAUAGAUACAGGCAACAUUCAUGGUUAUCUUGCCGCAAUUCUGAUUUGCAGACCUCAUCUGAUAAUGUCCAUUGCACUCCAAUAAGCUCUCAAAUAGUCAUUUUGUCCAUAUCUGGUCUAGAUAGUGUUUGCAGGCAAUUUUAUCACAUCAUUACCAUCUCUGUACAGAUGACACUAUCCCACAUCUUCCACUGCUCAUCUGCUUUCACAUUCAGCACAAACUGCUCGUUUUAGAAAAAAUCGGAAACUGAGCUUUUUAAAAAUACAGUAUUAACACUUUAGAGAGUGCAAAUCACUCUGUCACUUUUGUAACAUAAAAUGUGUUAUGUAGAGGUUGGUUUGGGAUAAAUGUGUCAUGAGUGAUAAAUUGAAAAUACUUUUUUCAGAUAAUAAUAGCAAAUUAGAUUUGCAGAGAUUGAAUUAUAAGGAACAACUGAAUUACUAGGAACCAGUUUAUGAGAAACAGGAGGAAAUUAAUAUAAAAAUAAAAUAAACCAUCAACUUUAUUAAAACAAAUAAAAUUAUUUUGUGUCUUAUUGUCCUCUAUAUUGGCCUAGAGCACUUAUAACUAUAAAAGGAACUGAGUAAAGGAAACCAAGACAAGGACUAGCAGUAAUAUGAUAUACAGUACUAUAUGUAGUCUUAGGACUUAAGCACAUGAAGCUGGCAAACCGAAAUUACAGCAGGAUAAUUGUGCUGGUAGAAUCUCACACAACAUUGUUUGUGUCCAGCUGGCAUUUUGCCUUCCUUCUUUACUGUAGCAAUCCUUUUGAUUGAAGGGUUGAAUACUUCUCCGUACUGCUGUCUUCCCAUUAAUUAUUUCAGUGCAAUAAGUCCCUUCUGCUUCUGUGCCAAUAUGCCAGCAGUCAUGUGGCAUCUGUGGGCAUGAUUAUCCUCCUCUCCUAAACAGGCUAUUUUUCUUCCACCGCCAUUUCAUCUCUGUUCUUUUUUUAAAAAAUUCUGUAUUGUAAUAAUUCUGAAAUGUGGUAAAAAUUAAAAUAAAAACAAAACUGAACGGCAGGGCUAUGGAGGCUGUGCAAAAGACAAAUCUUGGAGCCACGAUAUUCUAAAGUAGCCUCAUUGCACUAAUGCAGAGAGGUGCACUAAUGCAUAAUAAAAAACCAUUACAUUACAAUUCCCUACAUUAACAUGAUUGAUGAGCCAGCAGGGUGGUAUGAUGAUGUAGGGGGAAAGAAUCCAUGAACACCUUAAGUAUUUUAUCCACCAUUCUAAAAUAAAGUAUUUCAUAAUCCAUUCCCAAUUUCUCUUGGGAAAAAAAGGCGUUGGGAAAACAGGGUUUUUUCCUGAAUUUGUUUUGUUCUUCACAUCUCUAUAGUGGUUUAUUGCUAUCUCUGUUUCCUUUCUCCUCAAAACCUACCUUUCCUGAAAUACAUGUAGCCAUAACAAUUGUGUAUUUUUUAUUUGUUGAACCUUUUAAUUCUGCAGAAUUGGACAUUAAAUUGUAAUCACACCAGGAGAGAGGAAUUUAUCAUUUCCAGUAGUACAGCACUAGAGAAACAAAUAAUUAAAUAUGAGCAAAAGCUUGGGCAUGCCUAGCAAGAUUUAGGCUUCAUGCAUCUUGCUUGAAAUGUCAGAGUUACAUGUUGUAAGUCUCCAUACUUUCAAAUGUAGCUUGCAAAUUUUCAUGGAGAAGAGGCAAAAGAGGGUCCACUCUUCAGAAAAACAUCUGAGCACCUCCUUCCAGAUCAGUUGUGUGAUCCUAUGCAUUCUAAACCUUAAAUUCAGAGCUUACGAAGAUUACUUUUUGGAACCAAUGUCUGUAAUUGUCUGUAAUUUCCCAGCCAGUUACCAUUCUAGGAAUUAAACCACAAAAUAUAACUUUUCUAAAGCUCUGUUUAUAUGUCUUUUUCAUGUCUAAAAUUAAUAUUAGACAAAAGAAAACCCAGAUUUUAUUUUCUGUUUUUGGUCUUAUUGUGUACAGUAUGACCCCUGUAUCCAGGGAUAAGUUCCUGGACUUCGUAUGGAUACAUGAAACCACAGAUAAUAGCGAGCUCUGUUAUUUUCAAUUGGAUGAUGACAGAACAAGUUAACAAGUGAUCCUUUGAAUAAGUGACCGUUCCAAGGAUAUAAGAGUCAUACUAUACUGGUUUUAAAAUUAAUAGUCUUAUUUGGACAGUAUUUUUGUAGAAAGUCAUUCAGAUGAUUAAUUCUGGGAAUCACGCAAAUAUUGCAAAUUGGAAAAAAAUCUUUAUAAAAGAAUCUGUCUCACUCUGAUGGACAAUAAAAUAAGAAAUGUACAACUUCCUUACUCAUAUGGAACCACAUUUAUCAUUAAAAACAAAAAUAUUUUACCAGUUUUUUUAAAAGAAAAGCCAUUUCUGAAGGUGAACACAGGAAAUAGAAGCAAGCACAUUUCCAAAGUUGUUGAAAAUAAAAGUCUGUUGUAGAAUCUUAAAAAAUCAGUCAUUAUAGCAUUCUGUCAGUUCUUUAUUUUUUCUCUCUCUAAAAUCUAGCACAUUUACAGCAUACAUGGACAGAUGAAGUAAGCCUAUAUAAAACAGUAACCAUAUGUGUAUGGUAUAUUAAUACUGCCCCAAACAAAUAAAUAAUAAAAUUUCAAUGCACAAAGCUUGGCAAAUACAACAGUGUUGGGAUAAAACAGUGCUCUAUUUUACAAUAGCUUUACAUACGUACAUAAAACCCAAAGGCAACUGUGCUGUGGGUGCUUUCACAUAACAUAACACAGAACAUACUUGGCAGCAGUUUCCUUCAUACCCUGUUAUGGGUUUCAUUUUAAAAAUGUCCUUAAAAAGAACAUUUGUUUGGAUUCUAUGUUAUAACAAUCUGUAAGGAUGCCCUCGGCAAAAAAGAAAAUAAAAGAAAGAA